GCUCCAAUAGCGUAUGUUAAAGUUGUUGCAGUUAAAACGUUCGUAGUCUAACUUUUUCUGCUUGGGCAUUUUUACAUCUAUGAUGUUUUAAAUGCUUUCAGUAGAGAGAAUGUAUAGCCAUCCUCACGGAUGUUGUUAUACAUCUUACUUUGAGUGAAUCGGCGUGUUCCACGCAGCAAUUGCCUUGAACGAUUUACCAU
rnacentral:rRNA from 1 species